AAUUUGCUCCGUGUGGGACGCCAUGUUUUUUUUUGUUUUAAUGUUUACCUGCCUUUGCUCUGAAAGCUGCUCCCAUUAAGAGUUGCCACGGUGGAUCUGUUCUGCAUAUUUGAUUUGGCAUAGGUUUUACACCAGAUGCCCUUCCUGAUGCAACUCUCCCCAAUCUAUCCAGGCUUGGGACCAGCACCAAGUAUCCACUAGCUCUGGGGUGCCAUGGUAACGGCCCGCGGGCCGGAUACGGCUCGAUUGGUCAUCACAUCCGGCCCGGUGGUUCAUGAGACUUUUUUUUUUUAAUAAUAAAUUAAAAAAAAUCGAAUGUUGUGGGUUUUUUCGUAAUGAUUUUAAAUCUAAUGUUUCAAUUUGAUUCCAUUUUCGUGUAAUCCAUCGGUUCGUUUUUAGCUGCUCUCUGCAGCACGCGCAGGUGCAAUGACCCGGAUUUAAUGUAGAGUAGGCUAGUUGUUGCUCGUUCACAAGCAACAACAGUCUAAAAAGAGAAAAGUUGAUUCUGAGGGUCGCAUCUUUCAGGAAAAAUGGAGAGAGAAAUACUUUUUCUGGGAAGUAGGGGGAAAACCUGUUUGUCCUAUUUGUUCGCAACAAGUGGCUGUACCGAAGGAAUACAAUGUCAAAAGACAUUACGAGACCCACGCCGACAAAUACAGCCAAUUCACCGGGCAACGCAGGACUGAAAAGCUAAAUGAGCUUGCCUCAAACCUUCAAAAACAGCAAGCAGCUUUCUCAAAGUCUCGAGAGACACAUGAAGGGGCAGUGAAGGCGAGCUACAUCAUCGCCUGGGAGAGCGCAAAAGUGUCCAAGCCAUUUUCGGAGGGUACAUUCGUCAAGGAUAAAUACGCAUCUGUUGGAAUCCAAUCUUUCUAUCAGUCAUUGCCACCAGAGUACCCAAUUAUCACGGCCUUUGCCGGUAAAAUACAAUGUAUUUUCGGGACAACAUAUUUAUGUGAACAGGCAUUUUCAGUAAUGAAUAUUAAUAAAUCGAAACCGCGUAGUCGUCUGACCCAUGGACAUCUCAACGAUGUCAUGAAAAUAGCAACUGCCCAGAGUCUGUCCCCCAAUGUCGACAAGCUGGUAAAAAGUAAAAGACUUCUGGCUUCCACAUGUAAAAUGUAGCUGGUAUUUCUCCCCCAUGUAACCUUGUGCUGUGUGCUUGAGGGGGAAUAAACAGGAUGGGUGUGGGAAAUAUAUGUGGGACUUGACCAGCAAAGUUAAUGUGCCAUCUGUAGUUUGUUUUAUUGGUAUGUUCAGUCAUAUUUGGCUCUUUUAAACUAAUGCUACUGGAUAUUUAGUCACUUGACCUAUUGGUGGAAUUAUUUACCCUGGCACUUCUUUCUUUUGACUUGUUUAGGCCUACUUGCCAAUCGUUUUAAUUGGCCUAAUUAGGCCUAUGCAUUGACAUGUUUUUGAUGUGCAAGAUCAAUAAAUCUGAUCCAAGUCA